UAUCAAUGGCCGGCAUUCAAAUCCUUCUGUUUUCUGUUAAAGAUUAGGUAUGUAAAUUAUAACAGAUGAAUGAAAGCAAGCAAACAUUGCAUUUAUCCAUGGAUUCAGAUUUCUGAUAGUUUGGAGCAAGCAUAUGAAAAGAAACAGAUCCAUCCCAAUCGAACGCAAACAAAUCCAUCUUUUGAGAAGCUCUUUUUGGUUCACAGGACAACAUCCACAAUAUAUACACACAUCUUUCUCUAUAUUUCCAACUAAAUCAACGCAUCAUGUAAUGAACUCAGGUAGACAAUUUCCAAAAACAGAAGACCAUGCAGAACCCAUCUCAUCCCCUCAGUGCGACAGGCAUCAAUCAAAGAUUUAAAAACUACAAUUAUGAUAGGCAUGAUGGCUACAGCUAACGUUCAUGUAAUUAAUCCUUAAGCCAAAAACUAAAUCAAUGACCAAAAUGAAGUAAUAUAGAAAUACUUUUGAAUAAUCCAUGGACAGGGGCGGAGCCAGGAUUUAGACAUAGGGGGGCGAGACAAUAGCAAAGGCCAGAAAUAUUUUGUCUCACAAACUACAGAAGUGUUUUAUAUCCAGAUAUCACUUACAAUCGGGUCAGGUCUAGCUAUAAGCUGUAGUGUUGAACUACAUAAGUUUGUAAUCCAACUACUACAAAGUACGGCAUAAAGUACAUUUCUAAACAUUUACCAAUCAUAAAAUACUAAAGUUGUAGUGUUUUAUCAUAUGCAUGUUUUAGAUGAACAUGACCAAUCAUUGUAUAACUAAAUAGUAGGAUUUAGCUUUCAUUCAUAUAGUUCUAAAUGGAAAAUCAAUCACUGCUUGGGACAACACUUACAUUUACUUGAUAUAUACCAAGGCAAACAUACUUAAACAUAUAUUUUUAUUAGAAAAAAGUGAUCAGCGUCGAAAGAAUACAUACCUAGAGUAUCAAAUCCAGCCCCGGCUCGUCCCAUCUGCUCGUAAUAACGGAUGCUCGUUGUUUCCGCAAACCGCAGGCAUGCGGGAUCCGGCAACCAUCGCUGGUAAACUUCGCAGGACAAAGAAUCAAAGGGUCCGCGCUUCCGAAAGAUUGUGCGCGUCUACGCCCUAGUGUGAUGCCGAUGGCCGAUGGCAACACUAGAUUAAGUUUGGGCGGCGGCGGCCAGAGAUCAGUUUGAGCUUCGUUAGGUCAAAGGGCACACGGGAUGGAAAUGAACGCCUAGAUGUAGAUGCGCGUGUAUUGCAAAUGGUCUUCGAUCGAUCGGUGAUUGGGUUGGCGUUGUUUUGGGCUUGGGCCAGCCAGCAUCUGGAUGCAUGAAUAAAGGCUUGUACUCUAAUGGUCGAGUACUAAGUGACAAUUACAGAGUAGGUUAGUACUAGCCCCCCUUCAAAAUCCAUGGGGGUGGCCGGCCCAUAGGGGGGGUCUGGCCCCCGCUGCCCCCCCUACUGGCUCCGCCCCUGUCCAUGGAGUAAUCCUAAAGCCAAAUAGGUAAAUCAGAGAGUAAGGGAAACUAACAUGAAAUCUACAGCGAGCAGAUACGACCGCUCAAUGCAUCUAGAAGAAGAGCAACUAAUGCAUGAAAAGGAACUAAACCAGAUCUGAGCACAUAAGACAAGCUUAGUUUUGUUGAUUGAAGAAUAAUCUGAACGGUGCUACAAUUUACACCAAGGAGACAUGUCUAUUCCUAAGAAGUGAAUGAUUCGCGGAUCUGAAUGUUCUAAUAGAAGUGGUGAUGAGAAACGAGUUCAAGUGUUGUAGCUCAUGGAUUGCGACGACGUUCACAUUGUUAUCAUGAGUCUAACCGAAGUUUGCCCAGAUGGAAGAACAACACUUUUGGGUAAAUGAGUGAGCUAGACAUGAGGAUAACAUGAUCUAAUGAGUGUAAAUAAAAAAUUCUUGGAUGAACACAAAUGUACAUAUAGACACAGUCCAACUUCCAUGCAUGAACAAAAUCAACACAUAGACACAACCCAGCAUGAGUAAAAUAAUUUGAUGGUUAACUUAUGAAGCUAGAUCCUAUUUUCUGAACAAGACAUCAAGUAAAUAGUAGCAGUUACUCAUAAAUUACUUGACUAAGAUCUGUCCAUGGUAAUCCCUAGUCUAAGGUUGUACCUGAUGUUGAUGGGGAUCGAAGUUGGUUGCGUACUUUGUGUAAUUUUUCCUCACCAGCAGCGAUGUAGACAGCGGGUGGCGAUGGUCUCAGUCUUGGCAUGCCUGCCUGGGUGCCCGUGGCAAAGAACUCAUCGUUCGUAACCAGCAAUGAACGGCAACUGACUGUUGCAUACGGCAAAUACC
rnacentral:lncRNA from 1 species